UUUCAACAGUUUCUAAUGUUUUCUUAAAUGAAUUGAAGAAGAGGAGCUUCUUACAUCUGGAAGUGAUUCUGUCAUAAAGGGGCCAGAGAUUCAAUACAUUCUCCUGUGAUAACUGCUGCCACCCACUCAAUCCUUGGAAUUAUGGUGCUCCAAGGCUAAUUGCUCUUCUUCCUCACAAUCACCUUUGAUGAUCCCAAACAUCUUUCUUCUCAAGAUGAAGCUCAGCAAAACUUCCUUCUCCUUUGACGCUGAUAUUAGCAGACCCCCUAAGAUCUUUUCCUCUAGGAUGCCCCUCUUCCUUGACUGAGAAUACGAAAGGUCAUCUGUUUAUCUUGGGUAGUUUACAAUCUGGAAGUCUCCAGCUCAGGUAAUUUCAUGGAGCCUCAGCCCACAUGGGAAUGGCCUGAAAGAAGAGAGAAAACACACAACCUGUGUGCUGCCACUCUCCAUAAUGAUACCCACCCUCACAUGGCAAAAUGAGCCUAGUGCUCUUUCCAUCUGAUACCAGUCUAGUCCCAGAGCUCUAGUCCUUUAGACAGACGUCAUCAAUCAAGAGCCGGCAAGUGAGAUAAAGCCAAUUAAUUGUAAACACCAUUGAGGCAGAAACUUUCUCCCAAAGUUCAUUCUUAAAGUCUUAGAGAAACCUUGAAUAUAAAGCCUUCUGUUAUGCCAGAAUUGGAAAGUGCCCUCAACUCUGUAAUUUGUACUUAUUCUGGCUCUCUGCAAUGGUGUUUAGUUCAGGCUGGUAGCUUGCUCUAAAGAAAUAUUAUUAAAUGGAGCAGUUAUCUUCUGGUUGACAAGCUCUAGGCUGGAAUGAUCCUUAUGGGGUGAUUUGGUCCUUUCUUCAAAGCAGUUUUGUACUUUUCUAUGUAGGUGCAAGAAGAGUAUUUUGCAGCCACCACUAGGAGGGGGGGUGCACAAAUUCUUUCUCAUACUCUUUCUUGUUGGCAGAAUCAGAUUCCACUUGGGUAUUCAUAGGGUUUCUUUUGCUCUGAUUAGGCAGCGACUCCAUUCUGAAUGGUUGGUGCCAGGCUGUAUCUGAUGCUGACUAUUUUGAAUAGCACUCUAGUUUUUCAUCCUCCACAGAAAGGGCUAGGGAAGGGGCUCCUCAUCACCCCCAGGAGUUAAUUUCAGUUUGUCUAAGUCAAUCCAAGUGAUAUCAUUCCCCUUUAGAUAUUAGCAGGUAGCCCUAUCCUGACCAAUAAAAUGAGAGUAAGUCCAGUAGGGAAAAUUCUUGGAAAAUGGCUUCACUGUUAACAAGAGAUGUCCAAAGGGCUUCGCAAUAAAGUUGGCAGAUUGAAUAUAUGUAUUCACCACUGGUUCUUUUCAAAGCCCCACCAAAAAUAUAGUAAAGAAAUUUCCUUUAAAGGAUAAAUCUGUUAAGAAUAUGGAAAAUAGAAGACCAACAAAAUUUUAAAUGUUAAAAUUUGUAAAGUAGAAACUGACUACAGACCUAAGAAAUUUGAAUCCUAUACGAUCGGUAGAGAAAGUUGAGAAAAAAAAUGUAUUUCUUAAGAAUGUUCAAAAAUAUCAGGAAGUGAAAACUCUUAUCACAGGAGUAAAGACCAGGCUGAAAACAAGAUAA